AUGGCCGAAGAGAAACCCAAGGAAGGAGUCAAGACUGAGAACAACGAUCAUAUUAAUUUGAAGGUGGCGGGACAGGAUGGUUCUGUGGUGCAGUUUAAGAUUAAGAGGCAUACACCACUUAGUAAACUAAUGAAAGCCUAUUGUGAACGGCAGUUGGAAAUGGAGGAUGAAGAUACGAUUGAUGUGUUCCAGCAGCAGACUGGAGGUGUCUACUAA
rnacentral:lncRNA from 1 species